AUCUCUCCCUCUCUCUCUCUGUCUCUCUGUUCCUCCCACUUGCGCACACGCACACACUCUCUCUCAACAUAAAUUAAUAAACUUUGCAGUUUCCCCUUCGGCAUCCUAUUUAAUGCCUCUGUGACUGAGAGAGUGGAAUGUUGGUGGGUAGAUAGGAAGACCUUGGGGAUGUGACAGCAGGAUGAAUUGGGAACCCUCUGACCCUGCAACAGGAAGUGUGUGCCCAAGGGAGUACUCAUUCAUGAAAAGGAGGAAGCUGUGGGGCAGCUGGGGGCAGGGAAACUGGACAUUAGAGGCCUCUGUCUUCUCACCAGGACCUCUCAAGGCUGCAAGGGGCUGAUGCACUCAUGCCUUGCACUGCAGCAGCAAUCUGGAUUUGUCCUAUUCAAUUGUUCAGCUACCUGAUGCCAUAGGUAACGUCCUGACGAAUCUCACACAGAAGCAAAUAGAACUCGUCAACUCUCCAAAAGGCCGUAUUCCUUCCGCUACCCUGCUCGACCCCGGUAGAUGUGCCCACUAAAUAGUAUCAACUACCUGCGUAGCUUGCUGCAAGAGUAGAAGCCACCAUUCUGCAAAGACCAAAUGAGAGCUGGAUCUGGCACAGGCAGGUGUGAUUACUCUGGUGGAAGGAAGGAAGGAAGGAAGGAAGGAAGGAAGGAAGGCAGGCCAAAGAUGAGUUCCAUGCAGAAGACCAUGUCCCCUCUCACAACAAGGGAAGAAAACCAGGACCUGUGCCAUCCAGUUGCCUGAGCCCAAUGCCUCCGGAGCCCUGGGAAGACGCCUCGAGGAGGGCAUGGCAGGCCGGUCUCUGGGCAGCUGUGACUCCAGGCCUUACCUCUUACUGUCCUUCCCGUAGGGCUUCCUCCAUCUUGGGUGCCUCCUGACGCCUUCCCCGGAAGUCUUCAUCUGAAAAGCAGAGGGAAGUUGUCUCAUCCUCCACCGUGCAGGGUGUCGCGCAGGCACAUCCUCCAGGCUGGGCAAGGGAACUGACCCAACUCUCUCCAUCCCCCUUGUUUGCUGGGACACAAGCUGACUCUGGGGUGGGGUGGGGGUGGGGGGAUAUGUGGGUCUGGUGAGGACACCAGGGCACAGUGUGGAGUUAGAAUACCUAGCUGCUGGCCUGGCUGCAUCACUGAGCUCUGAGACCCUGGACAAGUUCUUCCCUCAGCUUCCUCAUCUGUAAAAUGGGUGCGGAAGUUGCACCCUCCAUAUGGCCU